AUUGCUAAUGAUGAGCACAAUUUCUCUGGGAAGUGGCCGACCAUUCUCUGUCCUCAGUGAGGAAGAAAGAAAUGGGAUUAAACUGCAACAGAAAUCAUUUUUGCUUCCUAACGAGACAGGAUCACAAGUCUGUGAAGGGUUCUGAGUCCAAAGGCAUCUUUAUCUCAAUGAUGCCUGGAAGCUGGAUGGUGCCAUUUACCUCACAGGGAUGCCCAGAAAGCCAUGAGAAACACCACCUCCCCACCUGAUAGAGAACAGGGCUUGGUCACAUCAGAAAGCAAGGUAGGGGAAGGAAAACAUUAACAGAUGGACAAAGCGGAAGGUGAGUAACAAAAAAAAACUGACGAAACUAUAAAUGCAAAACAAAAAAACCCACCAGCCAAAGAGAACUGAAGGCAUAAGGAAGUUGCUUCCAGAAGUAUGGUAUUCAAGAGAGCAGAGAGUUAUAUUGUUAUAUUUUAU
rnacentral:lncRNA from 1 species